CCUACGGGUGGCAGCAGUGAGGAAUAUUGGUCAAUGGACGAGAGUCUGAACCAGCCAAGUAGCGUGAAGGAUGACUGCCCUAUGGGUUGUAAACUUCUUUUAUAAAGGAAUAAAACGAGGCACGUGUGCCGUUUUGCAUGUACUGUAUGAAUAAGGAUCGGCUAACUCCGUGACAGCAGCCGCGGUAAUACGGAGGAUCCGAGCGUUAUCCGGCUUUAUUGGGUUUAAAGGGAGCGUAGAUGGGUUGUUAAGUCAGUUGUGAAAGUUUGCGGCUCAACCGUAAAAUUGCAAUUGAUAAUGGCAGUCUUGAGUACAGUUGAGGUAGGCGGAAUUCGUGGUGUAGCGGUGAAAUGCUUAGAUAUCACGAAGAACCCCGAUUGCGAAGGCAGCUUACUAAACUGUGACUGACAUUGAUGCUCGAAAGUGUGGGUAUCAAACAGGAUUAGAUACCCGUGUAGUC
rnacentral:rRNA from 1 species